CCCGCACAAGCGGAGGAACAUGUGGUUUAAUUCGAUGAUACGCGAGGAACCUUACCUGGGCUUAAAUGUAGAGUGCAUUUUCUAGAGAUAGGAAUUCCCUUCGGGGCUUUCUGCAAGGUGCUGCAUGGUUGUCGCCAGCUCGUGCCGUGAGGUGUCGGGUUAAGUCCCAUAACGAGCGCAACCCUUAUCGUUAGUUGCCAUCUGGUAAAGCAGGGGACUCUAGCGAAACUGCCACCGUAAGGUGAGAGGAAGUGGGAUGACGUCAAAUCAGCACGGCCCUUAUGUCCAGGGCUACACACGUGUUACAAUGGCCGGUACAGAGGGCAGCUACCUGGUGACAGGAUGCUAAUCUCGAAAACCGGUCUCAGUUCGGAUCGAAGUCUGCAACUCGACUUCGUGAAGCUGGAUUCGCUAGUAAUCGCGCAUCAGCCAUGGCGCGGUGAAUACGUUCCCGGGUCUU
rnacentral:rRNA from 1 species